ensembl:snRNA U6 U6 spliceosomal RNA
GUGCUUGUUUUGGCAACACAUAGAUUAAAAUUGGAAUGAUACAGAGAAGAUUAGCAUGGCCCUUGCACAAAGAUGACACACAAAUUCGUGAAGUGUUUGGACUGUUG